rnacentral:lncRNA from 1 species
GAGGCCUCACUCCACUGAGACAGACGGCAGCAGCGUCUGAAAGGGGAGGGAGAAGAGAAGCGUGGCCAGAUGAUUGUGCCCCACAGAAACACAACACUGAGCAAUGUAAAUAAUCGUGAAGUCGCAGAACCACUUCUCCCCGACACAGUCUGUGAGAAAUAGUGGACAAGGAAACCGUGAAGGUGAGAUGCCACCACAGUAUGGCUUGACAAGUGGUGCUCAGGUCUGCACCCAGGAUCCAAACCAGCGAACCCCAGGCUGCCGAAGUGGAGCAUGUGAACCCAACUGUUAUGCCACAGGGCAGGGCCCUGUCCUCGGUUUUUUGGGGGGAUGUGAGCUAUGGUCAUGACUGAUAUUCCUCCAUCUACACUCAAUCUUCUGGAUUAUUCUGUUUUUAUCAGGUGAAUCUGCAUUCAACAACCUUCAAUGGUUCCCCAGUGUCUACAAAAUAAAAACCAAACUCCUUGCUCUGUGUUGAGUGGAUGCACAAACCCUUGCUCCCCGAAAUACAGCUCUUCAGCUUUUUCCUCUGGGUGCCUUAUAGUAUUUUCCCUCCUUGCUUGUCCUGGUAAAUGUAUUUGAGUGGAAGACUCUAAUGCAUCCCUUCAGUCUACCCACACUUUCAAACUUAUACCUUCUUCCCUAGGCUGUUGUGGUCUCUACUGAUCUCUCUUUUUUUUCAACUGAGACAUAAUUGACAUAUAACAUUAUAUUCAUUUCAA